rnacentral:misc_RNA from 1 species
AAAAAAUUGGAACUCACAAGAAUGAAGAAUCUGUAUGAAAGACAGACCACUCUGCACGUUGCAAUAAAAAGGGCAUAAUCCCAAAUUGAAACCUUCAAACAUAAAGAAGCAUCAACAUUAUUUGGUGUCUAUGUUCUGCAAACUGCGAUCCCAUUUAGGAUCAUCGCCAUAAAUAUCACACAUAUUACUGCAUGAGGAUAAAGUGCAUUCACACAAAGCAACUUGACCUAGAGUUAUCGUACAGAUGACACAAAGUGACCAAGAUCACACUCUCUCAUUUAUUAAUGGAAUUGCCCAAAAUCGAACCAGAUGACACAAAGUGAAUUGACCCAGAGUUAUCAUACAGACACUCGAUUUGGUCAGUUUGCAUUCAGCCUGCCAACAUCUUCCUUUGAGCAGAUGAACAUCCUUCGGACCAUACACAGGAAUUCCUGCCAUGGAUAAUCUCCAAUCAGCAUCAUGUCCCCUUCAUCAUCAGUGUAUGUUACCUGCCAUUCCCUGCUCCCAUCAAUCAAGCUUCCCCUGAAGUCGAACAUUUGAUCAAGUUCACGAAUGAGAUCCUCAUAACCAUCAAAUCGAGUGAGGUCAACUGAUCUUCUAACAGCUCCAUAUUUGAGCACCUCUGUGCAAUUCAGAUUGGUGGCAGAACAAUAGUUCUUGCAUUGAUUUUCUGGGCUAAUGCCAGAAGGACUCUUGGAUUGCUCUGAAAUGCUGCAUUGAGACAUUUGAAGAACAGAAUAAAGACUUUCGUGGUCACUAUAAUUGGCAACUUGUGGUGAAGGGAGCUCCGGUGGACUUUUAACUAAAUUGACUCCAAAAAGCAUGUACCUGCCACCACCAUUUGGGGGUGUAUGUGGAAAUUCAGUUGCAUCCUUCAGUUCUGAAGUUCUCAAGUCCUGAGACACAGAAUUGUAAGAGCUGACCUUCAUAACUGACAAGUUUCUGCUUCUCAUGGUGUUUUCAGGGUCUCCAUAAGAGCUGAGUGGAGGGCAACAGCAACUAGGAAGACCCAACCUUGUUAUGUUUCCACCAGGAAAUAAAACAGUACCACUGGGACACGGAUAAUAUGGGCCAUGCACUGAAAAAUGCAGCUGAUUCCCUAAUCCCACUGGUUUGUUGUUCGAAUCAGGAUUUUUUGGAAUCAAAUGUGAUAUUAGUGGUGGUUUAAGUGCACCCAAAUCAUCAACAACCAUGUCCCCCUUUUCUUGACCUUGAAAGACCUCUGACUGAUUUUGGGUUGCAUGCUCAACCGGACCAUGCAAUAAGCCAGCAUCCCUGACCAUGCUAGGAAACAAGCACAAUGAUACAUCCUUUGGACGCAACCUCUUUGAUGGGUGUCGAAGAGAAAUGCACUUUCUUUUUACAGUUUCUAUUGGCUCAAUGUUCCAAGGAGAAACUCUUUCUGGACGUGAAAAUACAUCCGAUUUAGGAUCCCAUUUGACCUUAAGACUUCUCCAUUCUGAAUUAGGCCAUCGAAUGUGAUCAACAACUUCAUUGCCAACAAUUGUGCCUUCAAAUCUCUCAAUCCUCUGUUCUGGACAUUCUUCACCUUCAAACAGCAUUCUGAACCUUGUCCCAACAGAAUAGUCGAUUUCAGCAGACUUCACAUAUUGAUCAAAAGGAAUAAUGAAUUCAUUAGGACUUAUCCAAGGAUGGUAGUACACAGUAAACAUGGUUCCAGUGUUAGUGGCAUGUAAGGCAGUGGCCAAAAUCCCAUGUUGCAUGCUAUGGGCAGAGAUGACUGCCGUUGAUACAUUGUUCUGUAAUUUCAAAGCACGGCGAAUCCCAAUGCGAAGUUCUCCAUGUUCUCCUCUGGAGAAAAUUUACUAUUAUUCCUAAGGAAGAUAAAUGCAUCCCCAGCAACAAGCUUUUUUGACGUCACAAAUGCGCUCCAACCAGUUGUAAGCAAGUGCCUCUUUGGCUGACCCCGAAAAACAUGACGGAAGCACCAUUCUGAACCAUGCAAGUCCCUUGCAAGAAGUUUCUGUUCUGGGGGAUCUUUAGACAUGUCCAUGGGUGGAAGGAACUCCUCAGCAUGUCGCUUUAGAACAGAGAAUCCACCAUGCGUGCUUGUGUCAGAAGAUGUGAGUUUCUUGCUAAAAGAUAGCGCAUAAGUUUUGCGAGGCAAGGGCUGGGAAUUUCCAUCCUCCUCUGAGCUUAGCCAGUCUUGCUUUGCCUCUGGAAGCAAAGUUAUUUGGGCAAACACUUCAUCUGUUGCAGCUUCAGCCUUUAGUUGCACGCAGACAACCUUGCAGAUGAUCAUGGAAGGUAAAUUGUAGAUAGGCAUUUCCAUGAUACCAUCUUGGUUCAUGUAUGCCUCAACCUGUUCCGCGUGACCUUGAGGGAAGUAGACAACCUUCUCCCCAGCGCGGGGUACAUACACAAUGGGACCGGCACACGCGUGCCAUAGUUCGGUAUACAGGUCAUCUUUAUCACCAUGAUGGUUGUUAGGAGGCAAGCUAUCGGCGAUACAGUUUGUAGUCUCAUCACGAACCUCGUUGCUCGACUCCACAACUUCACCAACAACAUUACCCUUAACCAUUUCUAUCUGUCUCUCUGUUUUCCAAUGUGGAUAGGAAAGUAGGAGGAAAACCAAACGCAAGGAAAAGGAAGAAGAGUACAGUCUGCAGCCGCUAGAAGAAGACAAAGAAGGGGCCAGAGAGAGUACUUGACAAGCAGUUGUCCUGAAUCCACCCAAAGAACGUGCAACGUGGCGCGACCUAAAUUUUCACCCACCUCCUCCGCCACUCUCUUUAACAAACUUUAUCAACUAAACAGUAAUGCAAAUGUAACGUUCAAUUAUUAUCCGU